CAGCUCCUUGACCUGAAACCAGAAGAAAAAGUCCUGGACAGGAUGCACCAUUCACUAGACACCCCCCUGCCGUAACCCAAGGAUCAACCUUCCCGCCACCAAAGAAUCCAGACUCCCUUCCUGGCACCCUCAGACACAAGAUGCUUGGGGCUACGACUCCUGCUGCGAUAUCUGGGGGAACUGCCGCGUGACUCCAAUUGAGAACUUACCAAAAAGCCCCAGAAGAUCU